rnacentral:snoRNA from 1 species
GCAUGGAUGAAUUCUGCACUAGCUUUCCUCCAUAGCUAGUGCAGUCAGACACCAUGCCAGAGCAAAUUCCUUUUUCACUCUGCUUAGUGUGCUGCUUAUUUGGAAUAGGCAUGCCCUUGGAAGAGGAAUACAU